AUGGUUAGGAGUGUACCGAUUGACGAGAAGCUCUUCAUAGAAGGAGACCUCAAUGGCCACAUGGGCAAUCUAAUACAGGUUUUGAAGGGGUGCAUUGGGGGCUUUGGCUAUGGCAUCAGGAAUCAAGAAGGAGAAGAUGUCUUAAGCUUUUCUCUAGCCGACGACAUGAUUGUAGCUAACACCCUCUUUAGAAAGAGAGACUCACAUCUAGUGACUUUUAGUAGUGGCCAACACUCUAGCAAGAUUGAUUUGAUCCUCUCGAGAAGAGAAGAUACACGUGCAUGCCUAGACUAUAAGGUGAUACCUGAAGAGAGUGUUGUACCUCAGCAUAAGCUGGUUGUUGUUGACUUCCGCUUUCGGAUUUGUGUCUAG
rnacentral:rRNA from 1 species